rnacentral:rRNA from 1 species
UACAGAGGUGGCAAGCGUUGUUCGGAAUUACUGGGCGUAAAGGGCGCGUAGGCGGUCUUGUAAGUCCCGCGUGAAAUCCCCCGGCUCAACUGGGGAACUGCGUGGGAAACUGCGAGGCUUGAGUUCGGGAGAGGGAAGCGGAAUUCCGGGUGUAGCGGUGAAAUGCGUAGAUAUGCGGAGGAACACCGAUGGCGAAGGCAAUCCCCUGGGCCUGCACUGACGCUCAUGCACGAAAGCGUGGGGAGCAAACAGG